rnacentral:misc_RNA from 1 species
UCAGUGUAGCGCGCGUGCG